AUCCUGUGUGUUAGAAAUUUUAUUUCAAAACAUUUGUUUCCCUUCUUUUAGUUUGUUUCAUGUGUGUGUGUGUUUGGAUUUAGGUCAGAUCAAAGCAGGAGCUCCUUGCAGAGGCAAGCCACUAGAAAAGUACAUCUAGAACUUUUUCUUACUUCUUAUGCUGAUGGAAUAUAGUGCACUGUUAUUUCUUCACCUAAAAUCUUAUUUUGAUUUGUUUAAGCUGAUUUGCUUCAUUUUAUCUUUUUGUUUUAAUUUAAUUGUUGUUUUUGUUGCUGAGAACGUUGCAUAUGGUUAUGUUGUUUGCUUGCUUUAUUGGUUUGUUGAACUAUAGACUGUAGAUCUAGCAUCAUAUAGUUAUGUUACCUUAGCUUCCUUAUAAUUGUGGUUAAUGGGUUAUAGUUGUGCCCUACUUAUUGAUGGAGGGAAAGAACUUUUAAGAUUUUCAAUUAAAAGAUAAAAUAACUUCUCAAUUUAUGGGAAAAAGAUGAUCUUUUUAUUCUUUGUUCUGUGUUUUCUGUCUGCAUGGACGUUUUCUUUGUUGAAGAGAUUGCUUUUGUGUCAAGUUAAUUACUUUUAUUGAUCCAACAAUGUGUGAGCUUCUUUUUCAAUUCUUUGAACAUUGAUACAUGAAAAUUUCAUUUUUAUCAUUGUACAAUUUUUAUAGGUUGCAAAUACUCAGAUGUGGCAUAUUCAAGGUCUUACACUAUGUGAACAACAUCUGAUUUCAACAGAUAUGAUGAGUAGGCAAUACUCUUUGGUGAAUCUGUGAGAACAUGCAAAUAAAACACAAUUUGAGUCCAAGGCAUUUGAUUUAUAUAAAUAAUACUCACUAAAUAAAGGAAUGCUGGAAAAUUUUAUGAAUGAAGCUCAUGAGAAAUUGAAGUGUAGAGUAUGGAGGAGGACAGCAACUUGAGGGUUAUUUGUUUUACGGCGAAGGGUUUUAGUGUGGAUCACUUUCUGUAGGUAAGUUUAAGUUUCACCCGUUCUGUUUAUUUUUUAAAGGUUAGCUUUUAGGAUUUGCUUUCUGGCUUCGCUCAUUUUGGUUUUUUCUGGUGUUAUUUUGUU